AUUGAACGCUGGCGGCGGGCCUAACACAUGCAAGUCGAGCGAGCGGCGGACGGGUGAGGAAUGUAUGGGGACUGCCCGAUAGAGGGGGAUAACUACUGGAAACGGUAGCUACUACCGCAUACUAACGGAUAACCCAUAUGGGAUUAGCUAGUUGGUGAGGUAAUGGCCUACCAAGCCGACGAUCCCUAGCUGGUCUGAGAGGAGGAUCAGCCACACUGGGACUGAGACACGGCCCAGACUCCUACGGAGGCAGCAGUGGGGAAUAUUGCACAAUGGGCGCAAGCCUGAUGCAGCCAUGCCGCGGGUAUGAAGAAGGCCUUAGGGUUGUAAAGUACUUUCAGUCGGGAGGCGUUACCGACAGAAGAAGCACCGGCUAACUCCGUGCCAGCAGCCGCGGUAAUAC
rnacentral:rRNA from 1 species